rnacentral:lncRNA from 1 species
GUAGUAUUAUUCUAUUGAUCACCUAGGCUUCUCCAUUAGAUUGAGGAUGUCCAAUCGAUGUAAGUUUGUGAAUGAUUUGAUACUUUGUCCAGAAUUCUUCAAACUUUGUAUCAUUGAAUUAUCGACCAUUAUCUAUGAUGAUGACUUGGGAUAGACCAAAUCGGCAAAUAACAGAUUUUCAUAAAAAAUCUGUCAUCUUUCUCUCUGUUAUCAAUACC